rnacentral:rRNA from 1 species
UACGAAGGGGGCUAGCGUUGCUCGGAAUUACUGGGCGUAAAGGGCGCGUAGGCGGACAGUUUAGUCAGAGGUGAAAGCCCAGGGCUCAACCUUGGAAUUGCCUUUGAUACUGGCUGUCUUGAGUUCGGGAGAGGUGAGUGGAAUGCCGAGUGUAGAGGUGAAAUUCGUAGAUAUUCGGCGGAACACCAGUGGCGAAGGCGACUCACUGGCCCGAUACUGACGCUGAGGCGCGAAAGCGUGGGGAGCAAACGGG